UUUCAGCCCUGGCUUGUCCUUGUGUUGUCCUCUGUCCAUGCCUCUUCCCCUCCGUCCAUGGCUCUUUUGGCAGCUGCUCAACACCAGCUGAUGGGAAAUACAAGCGAGGACCAGCAGGAUGGUAGCAUUGACCCUUCCUUUGGAUUACACAACCUGUGAGCUCUGUUCGUCUGGAGGAUCCUACAAGACUCUGCAUUUCCUGCAGAGGUAGUCUGCAUAGUUGAUUUCUGACAGUCCAGCUUCAGAGAAGUCCAGGAGGUUCUGCUUCCCUUCUGCCUCUAACAGGAUUAUUCCCCUCAGGUGGUGUGUGCUACUAGACGUCUAUAAAGACAACCCUGUCCCUCUUCAUGGAUUAGUAAAAAUAAGACACUAUCUAAUAACUUCAACUCCUGAGUGGAAAUAAAUGGAAGUCUUCCUGGAGGACCUACCCUACCAGGAUGUUGGACAUCUCUGAAUUUCUGGUGACCUGGUAUGUGGCUGAAGUUAGGCCACUAAAGCCUCUUCUGGCACAGCCUUUCCUUCUCCACCGUCAUUGAGACAGCCAAGAAGAUGAUUGUUACCACUCCCAUCAGCACCCAGGAGAAGAUGAUGCUAAAUCCGACGCCGCUGUGGAGAAGGACAGACAGGCCCUCAGUUUCAAGCUUCAGGCUGCUCUGUGCUGAUUUUACUGGAAGACCUAACUGGACUGGACAACCUGUUACAUCUUGAGAGCAUUUGACCAGCAUCAUCCAGCUUCCCCAG